rnacentral:tRNA from 1 species
UGGCGCUGGGCAGCGGACACGCCGCGUUCGAGGCGGCGGGGCUGAACGACGGGCUCGUGCGCGCGUUCGACUUCGCGCAGCGGCAC